rnacentral:rRNA from 1 species
AACGAACGCUGGCGGCAUGCCUAACACAUGCAAGUCGAACGAGACCUUCGGGUCUAGUGGCGCACGGGUUCGUAACGCGUGGGAACCUGCCCUUAGGUUCGGAAUAACUCCCCGACAGGGGUGCUAAUACCGAAUAAUGUCUUCGGCCCAAAGAUUUAUCGCCUUUGGAUGGGCCCGCGUUGGAUUAGCUAGUGGGUAGGGUAAAAGCCUACCAAGGCGACGAUCCAUAGCUGGUCUGAGAGGAUGAUCAGCCACACUGGGACUGAGACACGGCCCAGACUCCUACGGGAGGCAGCAGUGGGGAAUAUUGGACAAUGGGCGAAAGCCUGAUCCAGCAAUGACGCGUGAGUGAUGAAGGCCUUAGGGUUGUAAAGCUCUUUUACCCGGGAUGAUAAUGACAGUACCGGGAGAAUAAGCUCCGGCUAACUCCGUG